rnacentral:misc_RNA from 1 species
GUGAAUCAUCGAAUCUUUGAACGCACAUUGCGCCCAUUGGUAUUCCGAUGGGCAUGCCUGUUCGAGCGUCAUUAUCAACCCUCAAACCUCCGGUUUGGUGUUGGAGGCGUGGCCCGGCUCACCCCGGGCCCCUCCCAAAGACAAUGACGGCGGCGACGACGGCCCCGGUACACUGAGCUUUCUACGAAGCACGUACUGGUUGAACCGCGUGGCCUACGGUCUUCCUCCCCUCGGGGAGAAUUUUUACCAAGUUGGACCUCGGAUCAGGUAGGGAUACCCGCUGAACUUAAGCAUAUCAAUAAGCGGAGGA